CGGUGCCAGCAAGCGUAAUGGCAGUAGCUAAGCGCUGCCGUCGGGACGAAGAGUUGUUGUUGCUGUUUGAUAAAGACAGCAGCUGUAGCACAGAUUCGAGCACAAGGUCCUCUUCGGACAGCAGCGGCGACGACGAGAAUUUAGCAUUGUAUGAGCAGAUGUUCGAGCAGCUUUUUCCCCGCCGUAGAAGCGACCGAAGGUCGAGUCGUAUGUGGAAAAGACGGUCGCCGCUUCUUCGGACGAAGAGUUUCUCAGGAAUUUCCGACUGUCACAGUCGGUUGCAGAUUCCCUUGCUGCUUAGUUCGCGUAAUCGCCGCAUACCCUUCGAGAACUGAUCGCGGAGGCCUGCCCCCAAAGUCGCCUCAAGAGCAUGUGCUGUCCUUUUUGUGGUAUGCUGCCAAUAAAUCCUGCAUACGGGAUGUCGCAGGGCGAUUUGAGGAUGGGGAAAGCACGCAUCACAGGAUGAUGUACCACGUCAUGGUGUUUCUUCUGGACAUCGCACCCCGCAUCGUGACCUUCCCAGAUGACUUGCAGAAGCUUGCUAAUGCGUUUGAACAGGGGCUCCUCAAGCCGUCCUAGAACAGUACACUGACAAAUGCCCGCGGUGCCAGGAUGCACCCACGCUCCACCAAAUAACGUGGGCCUGCCAGAAAAAAAAAACGCGGCACCAAUAAUACCCAAAUGCGAG